rnacentral:rRNA from 1 species
GAUGAAUGCUGGCGGCGUGCCUAACACAUGCAAGUCGAGCGGCAGCGAGUUUUACACUGAAUUCUGGAAGCUUCUGAGUAGUACAGAAGAUUUAUUCAAGAGUUUUGUGUAAAAUGUCGGCGAGCGGCGGACGGCUGAGUAACGCGUAGGAAUUUGCCCCAAAGUGAGGAAUAACUGCCCGAAAGGGUAGCUAAUGCCGCAUAUGGUCUUCGGAUUAAAGCCUUCGGGCGCUUUGGGAGAAGCCUGCGUUGGAUUAGGUAGUUGGUAGGGUAAUGGCCUACCAAGCCGACGAUCCAUAGCUGGGCUGAGAGGAUGAUCAGCCAGACUGGAACUGAGACACGGUCCAGAAUCCUACGGGAGGCAGCAGUGAGGAAUCUUCCACAAUGGGCGAAAGCCUGAUGGAGCAACGCCGCGUGAAGGAUGAAGGCCUUCGGGUUGUAAACUUCUUUUAUGAGUGAAGAAUAUGACGGUAACUCAUGAAUAAGCACCGGCUAACUACGUG